ACGAGAGAAGGGAGGCGAAAUCAACAUGGCGGCAGCGACGAGCAUUAGCAUAACCGAAGUGAAUUAUUUACUUAGUUGAAUAUUUUCUUCUAUAUCUUUGGACGAAAAGGUUAAGAGACUGGGACCACAUCAUCCAAACGAUGUUCAAAUAACACAAACGACAGAAUCGUAAAGUUUGUGUUAUGUGGUUUCAACGAAAGGACUAGCUAACGGCAAGCAGGAAUUCACUUUACUGUGUCCCAUGCCUGCUUUUUGGAGGAGACACAGCUUGAAUUCAACAAGGAAUUGUGGAUUUGAAGCAUUUAUCUGACAAAAUUAGAAAACACGAAUGAAGCAGAAGUCACAUUGGAAAUGGGGUAAAGUUAACAUCGCCUGCCACCUGGAUGAAGGACACCGCAUUGCUUUAGACUCUAAAGCACUUGGUGUCGUUUGACUUCAACGACAGGGUGAUUAACAUGUUUGCAUCCCAGAAAACUCGAUGUUGUGAUCUUCACUUUAAAUAAGUGUUUCGCAGCUUGGGCUGAUGGAUCCAGGUAAAAGUCUCAUCGAGAUUUAAUUUUCCAAGAGAGACCUGGCCGUCAUGGAAGCAAAGGUUACAACAAAUACAACAUACCAACAGAAGAAGCGAGCACAAUGUAAGGCAAAAGUACGUUUCCAGUUUUACUGGGAAACUUGUGAGUAUUUUUCAAAGAUCAACCCCACACUGCUCUCAGGGACUAUUUGUGUAGUUGUGGAAAAGUUGUGACACUGAAACUGGUAAUAUUUACAACUGAUCCUGAUAAUUAUUGUCACUAAUGUUUAUAUUGCCAUUUUGAAUAAUCUCAUCAAUGUUUAUAAAGCAUGCUUUUAUCCUUUUCUUCUUAUUCUAUUUUUCUUUUACAGUUACUGCAUUGUGGGUUUCAAAUUAGAAAGCCUUCCCUGUCUGCUUAGACUUGAAUCUGCUGUAGUCACUGUUUUAUCUGUAGGGUAGGUGUGCAGAGAACUUAAUGUGUGCCCAGCCUAACCCUCCUUCACCUCCCAAAUCCAUACGGUGGUAACACUUACAUCUCUUUUAAAAACCUGCAGCCGACUCCUUGGACCUGGGGAGCGUUUCGUGUCAACACAUCUAAGAAAAGAGACAGUGCAAUGCUGCAGUGGUUCAUCUUCACUGUAUUCACUUGCUUCUUUCUUCAUCGCAGUCUCUGUUGCUUGUUGAAGUAUUUUGUGCAGUGAAUGCUAACAGAUUUUGGUACCUGCUCAAAGAAGAUCAAAUAAAGCUUUGCAACAUGGUC